GCUGGGUGUGGUGGCACACGCCUGUAUUCUCAGCAGCUCGGGAGGCUGAGGCAGGAAGAUCAUGAGUUCAAAGCUAGCCUCAGCAAAAGUGAGUGCUAAGAAACUCAGUGAGACCCUGUCUCUA
rnacentral:sRNA from 1 species